AUGUCCACAAACAUGCCACCGGGGAGCCUGAAUCUGGAGUCACAGCUUUUGUCCAUUAUGGACGUGCUGGUGAAAGCGGCAGUGGCAGAAAUCAGCCAGCUGUUCUCGGAGAGCUCGGCGUCUCUCCGUCUGCAUUUAACCCAGAGCUUGAAGGAAAACGAAAACCUGAGGACGAGGAUGAAGGUUAUGAGGAGUGAGCUCUUCUCCCUCAGGCUACAAACCAGAACUAAUCGACCAGCGAGCCGCUUUUCUCCCGUCAGAGGAAACAUAACCAAACCACGAGCUAAGCCACAAGUUCUCAUCAAAUCACAAGUGGCUCAAAAGGCGGGUGGGGAAGCUGCUUCUAUCGUCCUGCAGUCGGAGAAAAAGACCACCUCCUCUGCAGCUCAAGUGCAGGUACAUGCAGUCCAUAAAUGAAUAGCAGUAGCUCUGUUUGAAAUCUAGUUUGUUCAUGCAUAGCUGUCCUUAAUGUGCUAGUGUGCAGAUGUGGAGAGUCCAGAUGUCAUUCUAAUCAAAGAUGAGGAUGAUGUGGGAGGAUGUGGCCCAGAUAUUGGUGGUGAGUAGGAUUUUUAAGUGAGCUUAAAGGGCCAAUUAAUUAUUGUUUUUAUUUGUAUUUUAUGUCUUUACUUGUCAUCACUACAGCACACAGAUUCUUAAAGCCUAGAUUGUCUAUCUUCUAUCUUAGGGCUGAAAAACUAUUAAACCAGGCAAGGCCGAGAAUAGGAGGAAGAAAGUAGAUCAGACGUCAAGCACCUGAUAGAAAGUCUCUCUUUCUAAAUUACACACAAGCAGUUCCUCAUUGAUGAGUGCUGAGUAAGACUGGCCUAAGCGCUGCUGUUUCUUCGAUAGUGGCCUUUAAAGAUUCUGUUCUCUGUCUUUUCAGAUCAGGGUGACUUUAGAAACCACAGCCUGCAGGGCGGUGUUGCAACAGGAGCUCAGAAUUUGGAGCCAGCUGGUUCCUCUUGCUCAACAGGUGAUAAUGAGGAGCUGAGAAUCGUGUGCGUUCACGGCCGAGGCGAAGGGCCUCUACAGGAUGAAAGUGACACCCUCUUCUCUGCGUCUGAGCUUCAGGCUUUUAGCUCUCUGUCCAACCACAACGUCAGCCACGACAACCUCCUGAAUUUCACCACCG
rnacentral:lncRNA from 1 species